UACGUAGGGUGCGAGCGUUGUCCGGAAUUAUUGGGCGUAAAGAGCUCGUAGGCGGUCUGUCGCGUCGAUCGUGAAAACUUGGGGGCUUAACCCUGAGCUUGCGGUCGAUACGGGCAUGACUGGAGUUCGGCAGGGGAGACUGGAAUUCCUGGUGUAGCGGUGAAAUGCGCAGAUAUCAGGAGGAACACCGGUGGCGAAGGCGGGUCUCUGGGCCGAUACUGACGCUGAGGAGCGAAAGCGUGGGGGAGCGAACAGG
rnacentral:rRNA from 1 species